AUUUAACGCUGGCGGCAUGCCUCCCCCAUGCAAGUCGAGCGAGCGGCGGACGGGUGAGUAAUGUCUUGGAAACUGCCUGCUGGAGGGGGAUAACUACUGGAAACGGUAGCUAAUCCCGCAUACCAUCAGAUGUUCCCAGAUGGGAUUAGCUAGUAGGUGGGGUAACGGCUCACCUAGGUGACGAUCCCUAGCUGGUCUGAGAGGAUGACCAGCAACACUGGAACGGAGACACGGUCCAGAGUCCUACGGGAGGCAGCAGUGGGGAAUAGUGCACAAGGGGCGCAAGCCUGAUGCAGCCAUGCCGAGUGUGUGAAGAAGGCCUUCGGGUUGGAAAGCACUUUCAGCGGGGAGGCGUUACCCGCAGAAGAAGCACCGGCUAACGCCGUGCCAGCAGCCGCGGUAAUUC
rnacentral:rRNA from 1 species